rnacentral:rRNA from 1 species
CAGCAGCCGCGGUAAUACGUAGGGUGCAAGCGUUAAUCGGAAUUACUGGGCGUAAAGCGUGCGCAGGCGGCUUUGCAAGACAGAUGUGAAAUCCCCGGGCUCAACCUGGGAACUACAUUUGUGACUGCAUGGCUAGAGUACGGUAGAGGGGAAUGGAAUUCCGCGUGUAGCAGUGAAAUGCGUAGAUAUGCGGAGGAACACCGAUGGCGAAGGCAAUCCCCUGGACCUGUACUGACGCUCAUGCACGAAAGCGUGGGGAGCAAACAGGAUUAGAUACCCCAGUAGUCCCUGUCUCUUAUAC